GCGACCCCAGGUCAGGCGGGACUACCCGCUGAGUUUAAGCAUAUCAAUAAGCGGAGGAAAAGAAACUUACCAGGAUUCCC
rnacentral:rRNA from 2 species